UGAGACAGGGCCAUGAGAGUCCCCUUAAUUUGUCCUGAGAAGCAGGAUGACUGUCCCUUUUGUCCUGUUUAUGCUUCAUGGCCUUAAGGCCUCCGAGAUGCAACAGAAGUUAAGAGGCGCAAGAGAAGGCUAGAACAACACAGACACAAAAUUCACUAAACUCCGAAUUUUAGUGAAUUAAAUGAGAAUUGGAAGGUUGAGACCAAAAUAGACCAGAUGUGACUAUAGCAAAGUGGAGAAUGUUACUGGAUCAGUCAUUUUAGUCUGGAG